UACGAAGGGAGCUAGCGUUGUUCGGAAUUACUGGGCGUAAAGGGCGCGUAGGCGGGAUGGCAAGUCGGUCGUGAAAUCCCUCGGCUCAACCGAGGAACGUCGAUCGAUACUGCUGUUCUUGAGGAUUGCAGAGGAGACUGGAAUUCCCGGUGUAGCGGUGAAAUGUGUAGAGAUCGGGAGGAACACCGGUGGCGAAGGCGGGUCUCUGGGCAAUUCCUGACGCUGAGGCGCGAAAGCGUGGGGAGCAAACGGG
rnacentral:rRNA from 1 species